rnacentral:lncRNA from 1 species
UCUGUUUACAAUUGCACAAGUUGGAUGGUGGGAUUGGAUAAGAAAUAAACACGCCAAAACCAAAUUUUCUUAUUCAGUAUGCGACUCAAAACCUUAUGAGCAGCCACUGAAAAUGUGUAAUUGAGAGUAUUCCAAGUCACUUACUAUUCCACUUCCAAGUGUGGCUACUACUCAUCUGCAACUUAUUCACGGGGUUUCUCAUAAUUAUGGUCACGAAUGAAUCACAAGCAGAAAAUAAUAUGGAGAAAAUUGUGCAGUUUUAGCUCUCCCAAUUGGAGCAUCUAUCACCCUCUCCUCCGCGGUUUCCCCUGCAUAAGUGAGUCUGCUGGAGCACAGAUUGCAUGGUGCAGGGUCUUUUCAAAAGUGAAGCUAAGGAUGAGGGUGCUGGUCUUUUUGCUGAUGCAGGCUUUCUUUUGGAAACCAAUGCAAAACAAACGUGAAGCUAAGUAGAAAGGGUGCAGUUUUUUCUUGUGUUUAUGACCAAUUAUGCUGAAUGGUGUUCAGAAAUUUGAGAGGAUUUUGGUGCCUUUUCAAUUGUUAGUGCAGGUAGAUCAAGCCUUCGACAAUAUACAUGUAUCUUCCCAAGAGGAUGCUGUUUUGAUUAACUGGGGCAGCAGAAGGAAUGACUACAUAGAGGAGGCAAUGCUAUUUGGGUGUGUGGAGAUGGAUGUGGCAGAGGUUUUAUUUCUCAAUUCUCACCUCAAUUUUAUAAUUUCGCUAGUAAAUUUUAUUAACUUUUUAUUUUUAUUUUUUUAACUCAAUCUUCUCACUUACUUAAUUACUUACCUAAAAUCUUCUUAGGAUUUUUAUGUAGGUUAUGUAGAGGCAAUGGUGUGCUGAUUUUGUGAUAGUAUGGGGUCACUGGCAAUGCAAGAGUAUUAAGAGGGUUAUGGGAAUGCGUGAAAAAUUCAUUGGUUUUGAUCUUAUCUUUAGCAGAUAUAAUAUAAUGAGAUUCGGUUAUGUAGGUUAUGUAGAUAUUGUUGAUUUUGGUUUAAUCCUAAGUCGCACAUCGAUGGGUUUAUUAUUUGGGAAGGAGGUUUGAGGGUUAUAAAAUAACAUCUCCUCCUUCACUGUUAAAUAUUUCAAUUUGUAAUAUAUUCUCCCAUAAUAAUAAAAGUGGGCUGGUUCAGCUCUGCUCGGAGAUUAGGCUAAAUUGGUCGAACUCCGUUAACAAUUUUCUGGUGUGUUUUUUCCUCUUUAUCUCUUUUAUUAUUCCGCUCUGUUUAUUCAAUAUUAUUUGUCGGGUAGCUCUGUUA